AUCCUUUUGUUCAUGAGCAUGAUGACUGGGUGUUCAUGCAUAAUGUAUGAGAUGUGCCUCCCUCAAACCUUGUUACAACAUGGGCACAUUACCGAUCUGACA